AGAACCGUAACACAGGUGCUGCAUGGCUGUCGUCAGCUCGUGUCGUGAGAUGUUGGGUUAAGUCCGCAACGAGCGCAACCCUUGUCAUUAGUUGCUACAUUCAGUUGGGCACUCUAAUGAGACUGCCGGUGACAAACCGGAGGAAGGUGGGGAUGACGUCAAGUCCUCAUGGCCCUUAUAGGUGGGGCUACACACGUCAUACAAUGGAUGGUACAAAGGGUCGCCAACCCGCGAGGGGGAGCCAAUCCCAUAAAGCCAUUCGUAGUCCGGAUCGCAGUCUGCAACUCGACUGCGUGAAGUCGGAAUCGCUAGUAAUCGUGGAUCAGAAUGUCACGGUGAAUACGUUCCCGGGUCUU
rnacentral:rRNA from 1 species